rnacentral:rRNA from 1 species
CAUAUCAAUAAGCGGAGGAAAAGAAACUAACAAGGAUUUCCCCUAGUAACUGCGAGUGAAGCGGGAAAAGCUCAAAUUUAAAAUCUGGCAGUCUUUGGUUGUCCGAGUUGUAAUCUAGAGAAGUGUUAUCCGCGCUGGACCGUGUACAAGUCUCCUGGAAUGGAGCGUCAUAGAGGGUGAGAAUCCCGUCUUUGACACGGACUGCCAGGGCUUUGUGAUGCGCUCUCAAAGAGUCGAGUUGUUUGGGAAUGCAGCUCAAAAUGGGUGGUAAAUUCCAUCUAAAGCUAAAUAUUGGCGAGAGACCGAUAGCGAACAAGUACCGUGAGGGAAAGAUGAAAAGAACUUUGGAAAGAGAGUUAAACAGUACGUGAAAUUGCUGAAAGGGAAACGCUUGAAGUCAGUCGCGUUGAACAGGGAUCAACCUUGCUUUUGCUCGGUGCACUUCCUGAUUGACGGGUCAGCAUCAAUUUUGACCAUUGGAAAAAGAUUAGGGGAAUGUGACAUCUUCGGAUGUGUUAUAGCCCUUCGUUGCAUACAAUGGUUGGGAUUGAGGAACUCAGCACGCCGCAAGGCCGGGUUUUUAACCACGUACGUGCUUAGGAUGCUGGCAUAAUGGCUUUAAUCGACCCGUCUUGAAACACGGACCAAGGAGUCUAACAUGCCUGCGAGUGUUUGGGUGGAAAACCCGAGCGCGUAAUGAAAGUGAAAGUUGAGAUCCCUGUCGUAGGGAGCAUCGACGCCCGGACCAGACCUUUUGUGACGGUUCCGCGGUAGAGCAUGUAUGUUGGGACCCGAAAGAUGGUGAACUAUGCCUGAAUAGGGUGAAGCCAGGGGAAACCCUGGUGGAGGCUCGUAGCGAUUCUGACGUGCAAAUCGAUCGUCAAAUUUGGGUAUAGGGGCGAAAGACUAAUCGAACCAUCUAGUAGCUGG